AGAGUUUGAUCCUGGCUCAGAAUCAACGCUGGCGGCGUGCCUAACACAUGCAAGUCGAACGAGAAAGUGGAGCAAUCCAUGAGUAAAGUGGCGCACGGGUGAGUAACACGUGACUAACCUACCCUUGAGUGGGGAAUAACUGAGGGAAACCUCAGCUAAUACCGCAUAACACCUACGGGUCAAAGGAGCAAUUCGCUCGAGGAGGGGGUCGCGGCCGAUUAGUUAGUUGGCGGGGUAAUGGCCCACCAAGACGAUGAUCGGUAUCCGGCCUGAGAGGGCGCACGGACACACUGGAACUGAAACACGGUCCAGACUCCUACGGGAGGCAGCAGUGGGGAAUUUUGCGCAAUGGGGGAAACCCUGACGCAGCAACGCCGCGUGGAGGAUGAAGUCCUUCGGGACGUAAACUCCUUUCGAUCGGGACGAUUAUGACGGUACCGGAAGAAGAAGCCCCGGCUAACUUCGUGCCAGCAGCCGCGGUAAUACGAGGGGGGCGAGCGUUGUUCGGAAUUAUUGGGCGUAAAGGGUGCGUAGGCGGUUUGGUAAGUCUGAUGUGAAAUCUAUGGGCUCAACUCAUAGUCUGCAUCGGAAACUGCCGGGCUUGAGUAUGGGAGAGGUGAGUGGAAUUCCUGGUGUAGCGGUGAAAUGCGUAGAUAUCAGGAGGAACACCUGUGGCGAAAGCGGCUCACUGGACCAUAACUGACGCUGAUGCACGAAAGCUAGGGGAGCAAACAGGAUUAGAUACCCUGGUAGUCCUAGCCCUAAACGAUGACUGCUUGGUGUGACGGGUACCCAAUCCCGCCGUGCCGUAGCUAACGCGUUAAGCAGUCCGCCUGGGGAGUACGGUCGCAAGGCUGAAACUCAAAGGAAUUGACGGGGGCCCGCACAAGCGGUGGAGCAUGUGGUUUAAUUCGACGCAACGCGAAGAACCUUACCUGGCUCGAAAUGUUAUGGACCGGGGUAGAAAAUAUCCCUUCCCCGCAAGGGGCCGUAAUAUAGUGCUGCAUGGCUGUCGUCAGC
rnacentral:rRNA from 1 species